rnacentral:lncRNA from 1 species
CAGAAAUCAAAAGUCAGCAUCACUUUCUGGCCAAACCAAAGGAACAACUUUAAGAUAAAAAGUGAAAGUUGAGGACUCUACAGUCAGUUAUUUCAACAUCACUGUGAGAUGAUUUUCUUAUAGACUUUCUAAAUUUCAAUGCCUUAGCCACUGCCAUCCAACUUCUAUGCAAAGAUAUGUCUUGGCUGGCUUCUACUGAAGUGAAAGACUUAUAGGACCUACUAUAAUCCUAUCCAGAGAGGAGAAAUGGCUUACAGGAGGUACGAGCCACCUAGUGAUUCAGUGAACUCAAAUUUGAUGUUUUCACCAUUUCCCUAAUUGGGUUUCUUGCCUCUAGGAUCUCCUUUGUCUUCUCUGUAUAACUAGCCCCAUUCUUGCUCUCCCAGAUAACUGCCUCCCAUUUUUAAAUUUUUUCUCCUACUUAGAUGAGGGAAAGAGCUCAUUUAAACUGAUUUAUUUUGGAUCCUUUCAUUUCUGUCAUUGUACAUACACAACUUGCUGUUUGUGUUUCAUCUUUUCUAAGGCAACUACAUUCAUGAUGUAUGACUGUCAAAAGUGGGAGGUAAACUGAAGAAGAAGGAGAAGGAAGAGGAGGAGAAGGGGAUGAGGGAUAAGAAGGAAAAAGAAGAAAGAGGAAGAGAAGGAGGGAAGGAGAAGAAGAGAAUAAGAGGAAGCAACAGCAGCAGCAACAAAACAGGAAAUAUAUAUGAGAGCAGCUUUCUCUCAGCUUCCAACAAUGAGAGGACAAAUUGCGGGAGACAAGAUUAGCUCUGGCAAAUAUGACAAAGGACAUGGAAGUACUUAAAGGGAAAAUUGUGAAAUGACAAAAAACUGUAACAAGCCUGCAAAAAAAAAAAAAAAAAAAAAAAAAGGUAAUAAAGGUAAUCCUUCAAAUAAGAUAAUUCAAAGAUUGAAACUUGCAUGGCUCAGAGAUCUCAUUUUUUUUCUUUUCUUUUAAAAGACAUUUAUUUUUCUUCUUUCCCUUGAUAUUUGAAUAAAAUUUUCAAAGCUAAGAAAGACUUAUCGGCCAAACCAAGAAAAUCACUUAAAGCAAGAGCAUUUUGGCUGCUCAGAGGUAUUUAACAGAAAGAUUAAAAAUGUAAGUCUUUUUUCAACCCCUUGAUUUUUUUUUAUUUAGUAUGUUUUUAUAUUCUCAACACAAAU